CGGUUCUGGAUCUGAAACUUUGCAAGUUCUUUCAAUUCACAGCACAGAAAAAACCUCUGCCUUCCCGAUUUCAUUUUAGUGUAAAUCAGAAGCGUUCGUUGACGGAUCGGAUUAAAGUUCAUCUUUCGGCGAAAACUCUUUUCAGGCUCUUUCAUAGAAGGAAAUUGGUUGCGCAGACAGCACGUAUAACUUGCCUGAAUAAAGUUAGUUAACAAUUGUUUUUAUCAUGAGCAUCCCAAGAGUCUCAUCAAAUGGAUUCCUUUCUCUCUUGGGUUGGAAACAUGAAGUCUUUCUGAGUUUCAGAGGUGAAGAUACACGAAAGGGUUUCACAGGUCAUCUCUAUCGUGCUUUGACUCGAAAAGGAGUUGAUGUAUUUUGGGAUGAAAAACUUGAGAAAGGAGAACCCAUUUCAUCGGAACUCCUUGAUGCAAUCGAAAAAUCAAGAAUCUCAAUUGUGGUUUUCUCAAAAAAUUAUCUCAAAAAAUCAAACUUGAGGUAGGACAAAUUAUUAUUCCAAUUUUCUAUGAUGUGGAGCCAUAUGUGCCAAGACAUCAAGAUGGAGAAUUUCAAGAAGCAUUUGCUGAACAUGAAGAAAGUUUUAAAGAGAACAAACAGGAGGUGGAAGUAUGGAGGAAUACUUUGAAAGAGGUGGCCAAUCUCUCUGGAUUUCCCUUGAAAGAUAGGUACGAGUCAGAAUUGAUAGAAGAUGUUGUUAACGAAGUGAGAAGAAAAUUAAGUGUUUCAGGUUCAAGAUUGAUGAACUUGAAGAAAGUAUUAGUUGAUGUGAGUUCAUGUCUAGAGCAGCUACGGAAGCAGGCAGAGAUACGAAGGCCAAGGGUUCAAUGGAGGCAAUUGAUAAUUGCCCAAACUCUAAUGCCCUUUUUUUUUUUUGAGCUUUUUAUAGAGUUUUGAUCGUAUCUUAUUCGACUAUUAAGAGGCACUUUUCUCGUAUACCUGUGGACCACAACAACGUGAAAGGUGUUAAAAUAUUUGUGGAUGUUCCACCGCCACAUGCUGAGCUGCCACAUUUUGAGUUUCAUUGACCACUGUUUUAGGCUUCUCUCAUUGGCUAUUAUGAUAACAGCUUUGUAUUUGAUUUGGCUUUCUUUUCAUUGACUAGUAAGAUGGUACCUUUUAUUGUGUAAGAA